CCUACGGGAGGCAGCAGUGGGGAAUAUUGCACAAUGGGGGAAACACUGAUGCAGCGACGCCGCGUGAGUGAAGAAGUAUUUCGGUAUGUAAAGCUCUAACAGCAGGGAAGAAAAUGACGGUACCUGAUUAAGAAGCCCCGGCUAACUACGUGCCAGCAGCCGCGGUAAUACGUAGGGGGCAAGCGUUAUCCGGAUUUACUGGGUGUAAAGGGAGCGUAGACGGCAGCACAAUUCUGGAGUGAAAUGCCGGGGCUUAACCCCGGAACUGCUUUGGAAACUGUGCAGCUAGAGUGUAGGAGAGGUAAGUGGAAUUCCUAGUGUAGCGGUGAAAUGCGUAGAUAUUAGGAGGAACACCAGUGGCGAAGGCGGCUUACUGGACUGUAACUGACGUUGAGGCUCGAAAGCGUGGGGAGCAAACAGGAUUAGAUACCCUAGUAGUC
rnacentral:rRNA from 1 species